UACAGAGGGUGCAAGCGUUGUUCGGAAUUAUUGGGCGUAAAGCGCGUGUAGGCGGCUUUGCAAGUCGGGUGUGAAAGCCCUCAGCUUAACUGAGGAAGUGCGCCCGAAACUGCAGAGCUUGAGUACCGGAGAGGAUGGCGGAAUUCCCCAAGUAGAGGUGAAAUUCGUAGAUAUCUGGAGGAACACCAGUGGCGAAGGCGGCAUCCUGGCCCUGUCCUGACGCUCAGGGGCGAAAGCGUGGGGAGCAAACCGG
rnacentral:rRNA from 1 species